rnacentral:rRNA from 1 species
UACGGAGGGUGCGAGCGUUGUCCGGAAUCAUUGGGCGUAAAGGGCGCGUAGGUGGCGGGACAAGCGUGCGGUGAAAGCUUGGGGCUCAACCCCGAGUCGGCCGUGCGAACUGUCUUGCUUGAGCACUGUAGAGGCAGGCGGAAUUCCGGGUGUAGCGGUGGAAUGCGUAGAGAUCCGGAAGAACACCGGUGGCGAAGGCGGCCUGCUGGGCAGUUGCUGACACUGAGGCGCGACAGCGUGGGGAGCAAACAAG